CAUUAGUGUAUAUCUAAAUUGUUGUGGUUAAAAAGCUCGUAGUUGAAAGUAAAAAACAAACGAAAAGGAACAGAGAAAGUAAAUGAGAUACUUUGUGUUAAAACUACUUUUCUCUGUUUCAUAAUAAAAUGAACUGGAGUGGAAUAGAGUCAAAUUUAUGAAACUCCUUGUUUACCAUAAAUAAAAUAGAGUGUUUAAAGCAGUACAAAAAAAUAGUUAAAUAUUUUUUAAAUUUGUACAUUGAAUAAUUCAGUAUGGGACAAUAAAACAUGAAAACUGGUGAUAAAGUGAGAGAAAAAGGGGAGAAAUUUCUUUUUUCUUUUUAGAAAGAGUAUGAAUAAUGCUUUUUCGCUUUAUUUAUAAACUGGUUUUAAUGAUUAAUAGGGACAAUUGAGGCAAUCAGGAUUUCUUCACGAGCGGUGAAAUGCGUAGACUGAGGAAAGACUAACUAAUGCGAAAGCAUUUUGCAAAGGUGUUUUCAUUAA
rnacentral:rRNA from 1 species